GACGAACGCUGGCGGCGUGCUUAACACAUGCAAGUCGAGCGGAAAGGCCCUUUGGGGUACUCGAGCGGCGAACGGGUGAGUAACACGUGAGUAACCUGCCCCUGACUCUGGGAUAAGCCUGGGAAACUGGGUCUAAUACCGGAUGCGACACCUGAUGGCAUCAUCUGGGUGUGGAAAGUCGGUGUUUAAUAGACACUGCUCGGUUGGGGAUGGGCUCGCGGCCUAUCAGCUGUUGGUGAGGUAGUGGCUCACCAAGGUGACGACGGGUAGCCGGCCUGAGAGGGCGACCGGCCACACUGGGACUGAGACACGGCCCAGACUCCUACGGGAGGCAGCAGUGGGGAAUAUUGCGCAAUGGACGAAAGUCUGACGCAGCGACGCCGCGUGGGGGA
rnacentral:rRNA from 1 species